rnacentral:rRNA from 1 species
UGAAGCCGGAAUUGCUAGUAAUGGCAGGUCAGCAUACUGCCGUGAAUACGUUCCCGGGCCUUGUACACACCGCCCGUCACACCAUGAGAGUUGGGGAUACCCGAAGCCUGUGAGCUAACUUUUAGAGGCAGCAGUCGAAGGUAGAAUCAAUGAUUGGGGUGAAGUCGUAACAAGGUAAC